UGAUGACAUUCUCCAGAAUCCCUGUACUGCCUUGAAGAAAGUACCCUUGAACUCUUUUCCAUCUCAUGACUGAAAAAAUAAAA